CCGAAACUAAGCGAGCUACUCUAAAACAGCCCACAGAGCUAACUCAUCCCUGUUGCAAAAAGGUGAGAAGAUUUUAAAGUAGAGGUGACACACCUACCGAGCCUAGAAAUAGCUGGUUAUUCAAAAACGGAUUUAAGCCCGACUUUAAGUUUUUUUAGUUUUACUAAAUAAUAUCUAAACUUAAAAGCAUUCAAAUAAGGUACAGCCUAUUUGAAUAAGGAUACAACCUCCAAUACUGGGUAAUGUCUAAUAUGUGCCCAAGUAGGCCUAAAAGCAGCCACCUUCUAAAAAGCGUCCAAGCUUCUACACUAAAUAUUCUUAAUGCCACUAUCUACCCAAAACCCACAAUCACUACUGAAUGACCCCAUAACUGUAUGGAAGACAUUAUGCUAGAACUAGUAACAAGAAGAUGAACUUCUCCAAAAUGCAAACGUAAGCCUAUAAUAAACCCCUUAAUGGCACUUAUCGCUAUAAUCUACAGUAUAUGCCCACCCAAGAAAAUUCUACUAAUUUAAGCGCUAACCUUACACCAGAACAUUACUGGAAAGAUU
rnacentral:rRNA from 1 species